UUGGCGUGGCGCUGUGCUGGGGCCGCCGCGGGAGCGGCUCCCCUGGGGCUGUCCUGGUUCCGGGAUGCCGCUCCCCGCCUCAGCUGUGCCGGGCUCUGCUCUGGGGAGGAGCCGUCCCACCUGCGCAGGCCUGCCCGGCCCGGCGAGCCGCUGCCUGCCCGCCCGCCCGCCAGGGCCCGCCGCGGAACUCAGGCUUCGAGGCAACCUAGAGUAGGAAGCUGACAAUUCCUCAGGUACCCAGUUCCACCUCGCUGGAAGCCUCUCCUGAUGCUGGGUUGGAGGCCAGCAGAACCCACAGAGCAAGAGCAGGACUCCUCCUCCCUGCCUUGUGGAGCUGGCCAAAGAUACUCUGAGUGCAGCAGACAGCAGAGAUGUGCAUUGCUGGAAUCCAGAGGGUUUCGUAAUUUGGCAGCCACUUGCUGAAAGCCCUGCAGAUGCAAAACAACACUUAUUUCAAGUCUUGAGAAACAUCUCCUACUAAGUAGAAGAAAAAAGCAUUUAGUUUGAUGCAGAUCCUCAAGCUGUAUGCAAAAGGCAAGGAGACGUGCCUGGAAAUGCAUGAUCCGAGGGACACAGACACAGCUUUUUGACGGGCUGCUCUUCCUGCUCACACCGGGUAAAUGCGGAGACCUGGCUCCAUGAAGGAGCAAUUUAUGUAAGAAUUUCAGUGUGGAAUUGACUUUAGGCUUUAUUGCUGUUUGUCACCCUUCAGGAAAUACAUCCCUGGCUCCAGCACUCAGUCCCUGAUGGCAUUCUGAAAAGGAAGAGAAAAUAACAGAGCUGCAGCUAUUAAGACCAACAGGAAAAUAUUUUAUUCAAACUCAACUUCUUCUUCCUGGGUCACUCUUAAGGAAUAUUUUUCUGAUUUUUGUGAGGAUGCGAACAAGGGUUGUGUUUGUUUGUUUGUGUUCCUGGAGACUCCCCUAUUCAGCUGAUCUUCAUCUUCUUCCACAUUUCAGGCAGCAGAGCUUGGAGCAGUGACAAGCUAUAAUCCCAAGGAAAACUGCUUGUGCCUGUGGCCUGGGUUAACCUGCUGGCAGUGAUACGUGCCUGGGCAGGGGCAGCCAUUUCACACAGCUCAGCAUGGACGUGCUGCCACUCCCAGCCACUUUUAGGACACAGGUGAGGUGUUUACAGCAAUCUCAAAAAAGCCUGUAAUAAAGUUGUUCUGCCUUCUUGGAGCCACCACUGCCAGAGACCUUUCCCCUUUCUUGGCUACUGUGGGAGCCUCCUUCCCUCAGCUUCACACCUUUAUCAGCUAAAAUGAUACAGUCAAGAACUGGUUGUGGUCAGGCUCUGUCUCAGAAGGAGGGGCUACACUGCCACUCUGUUGUGGCUGCUGAGAGCAGGAAGAUCAGAGAGGACAGCAGGGAGGUGGAAGCCUGCUCCCUCUUUUAUGUGGAAUGGAGUCAGGAUAUGCCCUUGUAUGAAGUUCAGCAGAGAAAAGCUUGGGCUGCCCUCGCAUUCCUGAGCACCGUGCCAUUCCAGUCAGCCUGGUACUAAUCUGCACGGAUCUCUGAAGGCAUGAAACAACAUGCAGUGCAAAUGAAAUCUGUGCUACACCACACCACAGUACUGGUGCCAGCUUCUUUUAGAAUGCUGCCAUGAGAGCCAAGGGAAACAGGUACAAUGGUAGAAGAUGCCUUGUACCACCUGCAGGCACAGACCUACAGCACUCGAGCAGCUCGUGAGGCAUGUGAAAAGCUGGUGAAUCCAGGGCCACUUAGACUUGAAUGCACUUUCCUGGGGAGGAAGUGGCUUUUCCCUUGGAAAGCUCAACUCCCCAGGGUCUGCAUGAGGUCAAUGGAAAAAGUGAUUUCUUCAGAAUGUGAUUCAGAGUGCCUAAGCACUGGGCUUAUCUUACUGACUACAGAGGAAGCUCAACUUCUGUAGAUUUAAACUCACUUUUGAGAAUACUCAUCCCCUCUUGCCCCUUAGUUGUGGGUGUUAUGCUAGAUCUGGAUGGGGUUAGUCCUUGGAAGGGACACUACCUAAUGAAAUUCAGGUGCUGCAGACCAAAGCUAAGAGAAGCUUGUCUACCAGAGCACAGGGCGUCCUGUUGGAUCCUGCUUUGUCCUUUUGAGUUACCCUGGGAUGUCAGAAAUGGAUUUGCAAGUACAAGAAAAGAAAAUUAAACCAAGAAAGGUUAGUUUCUUCAUGGUUGUCCUGACUGGAGCUGGAAUAAUCAGCAUCUGUUUCAGUUUAACUGAGUUUUCAUUCUGGCCUUUCUCCCCUUUCAAAGUACAGGCAACUGAAACCUUUAAUUUGCCCCGUCUUUCACUGCAGAGGAAAAUAGGGGUUUCUAACAGCUGUUACUAUCCUGUCUAGAAUAGCUACACUAAAAAAAUACGGUUUAUUGUCUGUUGUGAAUGAAAAAGCUCUUGCUUGUUUCUGUUGUUGCCUUGACUUUGAAAGAUAAAUUGUUUGAACUGGUUGACUCUCCGUUUGUAUAACUGAAGAUUAGCUUGCUUGAUAGCCUGCUGGAUUUGCAGUUUUCCCUUGCACUGAACAAACUGAAGAACUGCUGGCCUUGGGACAGCAGUUAGGACACAUCACAUACUGGGAAAAGUUUGUGUUCAUACAGGUAAAUAAGAAAAUAACUUCAUGCAUGACAUUCUGGAUGUGCUGCUUCAGUGCUGAUAUGUCCUGUCUUUCCACCUGAAAGAGCUCUUGUAAGACCUAGGAAGCCUUUUUAAAAAAUUGCUAGCAGACAUGGAUAGGUAGCUAAUGAGUUGAAAGUAGAAGCUGGCAGGACCAGAAGUAGUUUUUACAAGGUAGUUCUAAAAUACUAAAUCGUGCUGCUUGUUUUUGGGAACGUAGGUACUCUGUCCUUUUAUCAUACAUUUGCUUUGUAAAAACAAUUGGAGAAAAAAGCAAAAAUAACGUCUUUUCACUCAAGUAAGCAGACCUGGCUCUGAAUAUGUAAAAGGAAGUGACAGUAAAAAUAGCAACAUCUUAUUGUACUGUAGUCCUUCAACAGAGAAGCACAUUUUGAGGUUCCCCUUCUUUGCAUCCUUCUUUGUAUUGCAAAGGCAUCUUGCCCCAGGCAGAACCUUUUGCUCUGGGGGGGUCAGAAUCUGAUUUCAAUGGGACAGAACUUGGUGUCAGCCAGUGCACUGAGGAUCAGCUUCUAGUCAUUGACAUGGGCUCUGACUCUCCAUGGGCAUCCUCCGGGUUUGGUUUCUGUGCCUUCCUCUCUCCCCUUCUGCCAAGUGGUCCAGCCUUCCCAGUUUUUGUCUACUCAUAAUAAAGGCAGUGGAGCCAAGGUGCUGUUCGAGGGGAAGACAGAAAAGAAUUGCAAAGGCAUACACUAUUUCCAUGAUGGGCAUGGUGCUCACAAAAUUAAGUGGGAUUUGUUGUGCCAUCAGCCUUCAAAACAUGCUUCUAUCCCCCAGAAUAACUAAACCCCUUGCAACCCUUGGCCAAGAGACUGAAGGCAAACUUCUGGUAAACUGACAAUUCAAGGGAAAGGAAUAGGAUGUGACAGGAAGGUCUAGAUAGAUUGAGGUGUAGAUGAGAGGAAGGCAAAACUUAGUGUGAAAUUUUGAGAUCUGAGACAUGAUAGUGGGAGAUUGAAAUACAGAAAAAAAAGAAAGAACAACUGGAAAUUAGAGUUUUAUGUUGAGACUGGUUGGCAAGGAACUGGCAGACAGAAGACACAGCAGAACUUCAA